UUGCCAUGGAGAAUGCCCAGCUGAGGGGAAGACUUCAGCACUUGAGCCAAUUAGAAGAAAGGCAAAGUCAAAGAAGGAGGGACAG